UACGGGAGGCAGCAGUGGGGAAUAUUGCACAAUGGGCGCAAGCCUGAUGCAGCCAUGCCGCGUGUAUGAAGAAGGCCUUCGGGUUGUAAAGUACUUUCAGUCGUGAGGAAGGUGUUAAGGUUAAUAACCUUAGCAAUUGACGUUAGCGACAGAAGAAGCACCGGCUAACUCCGUGCCAGCAGCCGCGGUAAUACGGAGGGUGCGAGCGUUAAUCGGAAUUACUGGGCGUAAAGGGCACGCAGGCGGUUAAUUAAGUUGGAUGUGAAAUCCCCGGGCUUAACCUGGGAAUGGCAUUCAAGACUGGUUAGCUAGAGUCUUGUAGAGGGGGUAGAAUUCCAUGUGUAGCGGUGAAAUGCGUAGAGAUGUGGAGGAAUACCGGUGGCGAAGGCGGCCCCUGGACAAGACUGACGCUCAUGUGCGAAAGCGUGGGGAGCAAAC
rnacentral:rRNA from 1 species